AUGGCUGCCUGGGAAGCGGGGGAUGAGGGUGGAGGACGUAAGGUGUGUAUAGCCAGUCCCAGUGUGGUGAAGGGGGAGGGUACUGGGGAGGGAAAAGAAGGAGACUCGGGCGGAGCUAACCCGUGUGCAAAGCAGAACAUGGAGGAACGCGGGUCCCCCGACGGGGACCCCGCGCGGAACCUGGAGCAGGGGCCAGAGGGGCCAGAAACGCCCAUCCAGGUGGUGCUCAGGGUGCGUCCCAUGAGCGCGGCGGAGCUGCGUCGAGGGGAGCAGAGCGUGCUGCACUGCUCAGGGACCCGGACUCUGCAGGUGAGCCCCCCGGGCGGGGGCCCCGACGUGGCGUUCCGCUUCGGCGCGGUGCUGGACGGGGCGCGCACGCAAGAGGACGUGUUCCGGGCCUGCGGCGUGCGGCGCCUGGGCGACCUGGCGCUGCGCGGCUUCUCCUGCACCGUCUUCACCUUCGGCCAGACCGGCUCCGGGAAGACCUACACCCUGACCGGACCUCCUUCCCAGGGGGAGGGCGUGCCCGUACCCCCCAGCCUGGCCGGCAUCAUGCAGAGGACCUUCGCCUGGCUGUUCGACCGCGUGCAGCACCUCGGUGCCCCUGUCACUCUCCAUGCCUCCUAUCUGGAGAUCUACAAUGAACAGGUUCGAGACUUGCUGAGCCUAGGGGCUCCCCGGCCCCUCCCUGUUCGCUGGAACAAGACCCGGGGCUUCUAUGUGGAGCAGCUGCGGGUGGUGGAGUUUGGGAGUCUGGGGGCCCUGAUGGAACUUCUGCAGAUGGGUCUUAGCCGUCGAAGGAGCUCAGCUCACACCAUGAACCAGGCCUCCAGCCGAAGCCAUGCCCUGCUCACACUAUAUAUCAGCCACCAAACUCAGAUGCCUCCUGUGGAUCCCGGGGAACCCCCUGCCGGGGGGAAGCUGUGCUUUGUAGACCUGGCUGGCAGUGAGAAGGUGGCGGCCACAGGAUCCCGUGGGGAGCUGAUGCUUGAGGCCAACAGCAUCAACCGCAGCCUGCUGGCCCUGGGUCACUGCAUCUCCCUGCUGCUGGACCCACAGCGGAAGCAGAGCCACAUCCCCUUCCGGGACAGCAAGCUCACCAAGCUGCUGGCGGACUCGCUGGGGGGGCGUGGGGUGACCCUCAUGGUGGCCUGCGUGUCCCCCUCAGCCCAGUGCCUUCCCGAGACCCUUAGCACCCUGCGAUAUGCAAGCCGAGCUCAGCGGAUCACCACUCGGCCCCAGGCCCCCAAGUCCCCUGUGGCAAAGCCACCCCAGCAUUUGGAGACUGAGCUAUUGCAGCUCCAGGAGGAGAACCAUCGCCUGCGGUCCCAACUGGGCCAAAUGGACCCCAAAGCCUCUGGACUCACUGGGGCCCGGGUGGCCUGGGCUCAGCGGAACCUCUACGGGAUGCUGCAGGAGUUCAUGCUGGAGAACGAGAGGCUCAGGAAAGAAAAGAGGCAGCUGCAGAGCAGCCGGGACCUGGCCCAAGAUGAGCAGCGCAUCCUGGCCCAGCAGGUCCAUGAGCUGGAGAGGCGCCUCCUCUCUGCCUGCUACCUUCACCAGCCGGGCCCUGGCUCAGCCCCACCGUGUCCCUGUGUGAUGGUGCCUCCUCCCCGCUGCCACGCCCUGCCGCCUCUCUGCCCCUGCCCCUGCUGCCACCUCUGCCCCCUGUGCCGAGCGCCACUGGCCCACUGGGCCUGUCCACGGAGGGAGCUCCACCUGCCCCAGGAGAGGAAUUGCAUCAAUAUCUGGACUCUGGUUAUACAGACUCAUGAACUUGACAUCCAGCUCUGCUGACUCCUUCCUGCAAGGUGCGCCUUCUAAUAUGGAUUCUUCCAGGGAGAGAGUGGCCAUCCAGGACUGGGUCACCCAGUGGAAAAUCCAGGGAAGUGUUCCCACUGCCCUUCCAGGGAAGCUGAUUGGGAGAGAUUCGUUUGUCUUCAUUGACGAAAGGCCAGUGGGGCUUUCCAAGGAGUCUGGCUUGCCUCGUGAUUUCGGAAAAGAGAGCUGUUUUAGUCCCUCCAAGGAUAUUGGGUGAUGUCAACCCGGUCAGCCAGGAGUCGGGCAGGCCUCCUGAGGUCUUGCUUUAAUGCAGGGCAGAUAAGACCAGUCUGCAAAGAGUAGGAAAAUGCCUGUGUCCUCUUCCUGAAUGCAGACAGGCCUUUGGAAGUUUAUUCCUUUGGGACCUCUUUCUUCUGGGGGUACAGAGGGAGCCAGGCUCUGGGCCACAAGCUCUGUUCCAGGGGCAGCUGGAUCUCAAGAACCCUCAGCUCCAAAGUGUCUCACUUUCUGGGCUGCUUCUGCAGGCUAAGCCACCUGCUUCCACAAUCAGGAGUCUAAAUUGACAACAUCUAAGGGCACCCUCCACCCUGGGCUAUCAUUUAUUAUUUGCUGAGCUCUCCGCAAGCAGCAAGAACGUGACAUGUUUCUCAUCAUUUAAUUCUUCUACACCCCUAUGAGCUCAUUAACUCCAUUUAACAGGGGGAAGACUCAGGUUGAGAAAGUUGAAGUCAAUUAAGAUCAAACAGGCAAGACGGGGUCGCAGCCAUGACUGGAACCCAGGACUGUCUGGGUGCAAAGUUCAGCUGCUCAACCAUCACGCUGCUGGACGAAGCCUUGGGGAUCCUCCCAGCUGUGAUACACAGACUAAUCCAAAAUCGGUGAUGCAAGGGAACAGGUAUCUUUGCCUUUUAAAUUGUGCCAGUGAGUAUCCCGGUCACUCGUUCAUUUGCUCAUUCAUUGAUCGUGAUUCAAGGAUUUGGCCAUGGUGAUUUCAAUCUCCCAGUCUCCCUCACCUGUCUUCUAGUUAGGUGGUCCUUUUUGGGGGUCUGACCUACAUUUCCACUCACAGUUCUAAGUCAGUCAAUUAGCAUGUGGUUGUUGAGCACCUAAGUGCCCAGCACAGUGCUGGGAAGAAGAGAAGGGUCAGGUCUAUGGCAGAGACAGAGCACGCUCUUGGCCGGAGAAGGGAGAACCAGACUCACUCCUGCUGUGAGGGGUCCAGUGAAGGGAGACACCCACCCCUCUGCUCCAGGUGUCUGAAAGAACACAGCCAAGGGCCCACUGUUUAUCAGGGGACAAGGGGCUGGGAGGCCAGCAGAGUGACUUGGGUGUCAGGGAGACAGAUCUGGGUUUGGAUCACUACUCACUGGCUGGGUGACCAUUGACACUAAGUCACCUGAUCUCUCAGCCUCAGUUUCCCUAUCUGCAAAGUAGGGCUACCAUUGUAGUAAAGUGAUUGAACCUUAACGGGAGGAUUCAGUAAGCCAUGCUUGUAGAGUGCUCAGCAUGGGGCCUGACACACAGUACGAACUUAAUCAAGUGGUUAUUCAGGUUAUCGCCGCCCUUGCUGUGUAUAGCAGCGAUACCCAAUUCUGGUUCAUCAGGAGAACUGAAUUCACUGGGCAGCGAACUAUUUUUCAAAGCGCCCCAUCUAAGCAUCCAGCUCUGGGGAUAGGCAAGGCAGAAGCUGAGUGUUUUACACUCACCAGGGAGUUGUAAGCAGGCUUGGGGCAAGGAAGGCUGGGUUCCAGCCCUGGUUCUACCACUUCCGUGGGCCUUUGCUCUAGGCCUCUGCCUCCUGCCUGUACGGAGGAAUGGGGACAAACCCCAGUGGUCUUUCUAGGACUUCUCUGCUGCCCUCUAGUGGACACGGGAUGCUCACACCUUCUUGCGUGUAAUUUCUGCUGUGUUUGGAGCCCUUACCUGGUGCCACGCGCUGUGCUAAGUGCCUGUGAUGACAUCGAUCCCUCCGGUGUGUACCCUGGGGAGCCCUUUCGCAAAUGUCCCUCCUCCAGUGCUUACUUCAGCCCUGUCACGUCUGGUUUCUCCAAAGACAGACAUCCUGAGACCAUCACACAGGUGAGGAAAGUGGGCUGCAGAGAGGGAAGGCCAUCCCCAAAGUCAUGCAGAGCAAGUCAAGGCUUCUGGCUGCCAGCUGUCUGCACUCCUCUUAAUUCAGACUGCCUUCUUACUACCACCACGAACCAAACCAUAAAAGCCUGAGAAACUUUGUGAACAAGAGGGAAGAUAAGUGUUUCAGAAAUCUGAGCCAAGAUGCUUGCUAUGAUUAAAUUUGUCACAUGGCUUUGAGCUUCCUGGCAGCCAAAGUGAAAAGGGAAUGUCAUCAGUAGCCAAGCUGCCAGUGACAGAGCAGAGGAAACACAUUCACUUAUUAUGACUAGAGACACACUUGUUCCUGAUACUGGAAAGACGAAUGUAUUGACGACUCUUACAGAGGGACAUGACACACCAGUUGUUGGGGCCACUCUGUGAGGGAACUGCCGGAUCCUCACAUGAGCAGGGCUCUUCCUUGUGGAACUGCCUGCCUGAAGGGGUCAUUCCCAGCUGUAGCAAGGAGGCUACUGUGUGUGUGGAAUGUUCUGUGCCAAGGGCAGGGAGGAAAUGAAGACAGAGAUUCUGACCACUGGAGAAGGGCUCUUCCUAGAGAGGGCCUGCAGUAUCACUGGCAAGAGUUUGAUCUAUGGAGACAAACAGACCUGGGUUUUUAAAAAAUUCCCAUUUAAAUAUUUUAAUGCAAUGGAUACUGUCUAGUUUCCUAAGGCUGCCAUUAAUAAAGCACCACAAACUGGGUGGUGUAAAACAACAGAAAUGUAUUGUCUCACAGUUCUGGAGGUUACAAGUUCAAUACCAAGUUGUCACGAGGGCCGCAUUCUUCCUGGAGGUUCUAGGGGAAAAUCCUUCCUGGCUUCUGCCGGCAGCCCUUGGCAUUCCUUGGCUUACUGCUGCCUCAUUCCAAUCUCUGCCUCUGUCUUCACGUGGCCAUCUUCCUUGUGUGUCUGUGUGUCUCUGUAUCAAAAUCUCCCCCCCCCACCCUUUCUCUUAUGAAGACAUCAGUCCUUGGGUUUAGGUCCACCCUCCUCCAGUAUGACCUCACCUGAACUAAUUAUGCAAAUAAGGCCACAGUCUGAGGUCCCGGGUGCACGUGAAUUUGGGGGAGACACCAUCCAACCUGUUACACACACAUUCCGCUCUUACCAUUGCCAGCUGCUGUCCUAGUGCUUUACAAGCGUAACUCCAUCAAUCCUCGUGACAAUGUUCUGCACCAGGAACUACUAUUAUCCCCAUUUGCAAAUGAGGGCACGGAGGCACUGAGAGGUAAAGCCACUCACCCAAGGCCACACAGCCAGUGAGUGGCACAGAAAGCAGUCUGGCUCCCAAGUCCACGCUCUCAGCCACCACCAGAUGCUGCCUCUCCCAGCAAUGCUGCUUCCCAGCUGGGAGACCCUAGGCAAGUCACUUUACCUCUUGGAGACUCAAACGUGCUGCCUAUAAAGGGGAAAAAUAGCACCUACUUGAUGGGGUUGUUGUGGGGAUGAUCAAUUCCGUGGCCGGUGUAGAGUGCUGGUAUACAGCUGGCACAUAGCAGGUGCUCAGUGAAUGGAAGCUGUGAGCAUCAUUAUUUC